GACGUAGGGCGCGAGCGUUGUCCGGAUUUAUUGGGCGUAAAGAGCUCGUAGGCGGCUUGUCGCGUCGACUGUGAAAACCUUGGGGCUCAACCCCAAGCUUGCAGUCGAUACGGGCAGACUUGAGUUCGGCAGGGGAGACUGGAAUUCCUGGUGUAGCGGUGAAAUGCGCAGAUAUCAGGAGGAACACCGGUGGCGAAGGCGGGUCUCUGGGCCGAUACUGACGCUGAGGAGCGAAAGCGUGGGGAGCGAACAGG
rnacentral:rRNA from 1 species